GAAAUGCGAUACUUGGUGUGAAUUGCAGAAUCCCGUGAACCAUCGAGUCUUUGAACGCAAGUUGCGCCCGAAGCCAUUAGGCCGAGGGCACGCCUGCCUGGGUGUCACACAUCGUUUCCCCAACGCAAACAUGUAACAAUGUUGCUGCGCGGGGUGUAUGCUGACCUCCCGCGAGCACCCGCCUCGAUUGACCCUAUAAACGGAGUGCAUGACGCUUCGACCGCGACCCCAGGUCAGGCGGGACUACCCGCUGAGUUUAA
rnacentral:misc_RNA from 1 species